rnacentral:misc_RNA from 1 species
GAUGAAAAACGUAGUGAAAUGCGAUAAGUAAUGUGAAUUGCAGAAUUCAGUGAAUCAUCGAAUCUUUGAACGCACAUUGCGCCCCUUGGUAUUCCGAGGGGCAUGCCUGUUCGAGCGUCAUUUUGACCACUCCCGCUUGCGGGGUCUUGGGCCUUCGCCUCUGGGCGGGCCUUAAAAUCAGUGGCGGUGCCGUCCGGCUCUAAGCGUAGUAAAUCUCCUCGCUAUAGGGUUCCGGAGGGAUGCUGGCCAACAACCCCCAACUUUUAAGGUUGACCUCGGAUCAGGUAGGGAUACCCGCUGAACUUAAGCAUAUCAAUAAGCGGAGGA